rnacentral:misc_RNA from 1 species
UUGAAAUUAUAGGCGAGGGUUGUAGCUGGCCUCUCGGGGCAUGUGCACGCCCGAGCCCUUAAUCCACACACACCUGUGAACCUAUUGUAAGGGCCCGUGAAAAGGCCUUUACGUCUUUAUAAACCCAUCGUAUGUCUCAUAGAAUGUAAUUAUAUGUCCUCGCCUUAAAAAAGCGUUGAUAAACUUAUA